AAACCCGGCCAUUGGCGGAAAGAAAAAAAAAACAAGAUGGUGGCGAUUCGAAAUUUUGCUCUGAACCGAUUCGAAAUGCCCAGUCCUAAUUACAUGGCGAACCGCGCCUCACGUCUAGUUACCAAUCCUUGUAAGAUAUAGAAUUCCUUUGCCUGGUAUGCAUGGACUUUGAAGAAAUCAUAAUAAUCUGUAGUUACGUCAAAUUACCCUGCUACGCAAGAAGUCUGGCAAUCCUGUGGAACUUAUCGUCCCCCACGUAGUUCGACCCCAUGUAGGGUAAUCAGAGGUUCGGUAGCAGUUUUGAUUUCAUUAUACACAGUUGAAAAUUAUGACUCUGCGCCAAAUCCGAUCUUUUUAGCAAACGCGGUUAAGUCCUUCCUCUUACCGAUGCGACCCCCAAGUUAAUAGUUGAUGGAACCAUAGCUUAGGGAAUCAUACUCUUUUUUAUUUGUAUGUAUGAUCGAGGCCUUUUACAUCAGUACCUAAUAUUUUCAUUUACAGAUAAACACUUACCAGUGGCGACACUCGACGCUUUGAGUCCAAAUAUUUAUGCAUUGCUUUAUUGUAGUUAUCUGUAUAUAUAUCUGAUCUCUUUUUCGCGGUAUAAGCAUCUAUAUUAUAUAUAUGCAGUGAUGAAAUUGUCAGAUGGCUUGUAAAGAGAUAAAGCGAAAAUAUUGAUCGCCUUUUAAAGGAGAUCACAUAUCCUGUUUUGCCCGCGUUUCACAAGAUUGCGCUAGGUUGUUAUUUCCUAAACUGCCAAUCUUUUUAUCAAUCUCUGGUUUUCUGGGAUGAUUACAGUCUGAUAUUUUAGUCUUGUGUUCGACAACUGAAGGUGUUGCAUUGACGCUGAGAAUUGAAUCAGGAUGUUGAAUAUCAAAUUAUUCGUAUUUUGUCUGGUUGUUCUACUGCUUGUAUUUACGGGAACAGCAAUGGCCCCGCCUCCCCCACCCCCGCCACCAAUGCACCAUCAUCAAAACUUUCUUGAAAAUAAUCCUGAUUUGCUGGAAACUUGGUGAAUUUUCGACUGGGAUCUUAACUACGAUAUUUUCAUGCUGCAAGUGGAACAUAUUUUAAUAAAGAACCUAUGUUAUAUAG